rnacentral:rRNA from 1 species
UACGUAGGGUGCGAGCGUUGUCCGGAAUUAUUGGGCGUAAAGAGCUCGUAGGCGGUUUGUCGCGUCUGCUGUGAAAACUGGAGGCUCAACCUCCAGCCUGCAGUGGGUACGGGCAGACUAGAGUGCGGUAGGGGAGAUUGGAAUUCCUGGUGUAGCGGUGGAAUGCGCAGAUAUCAGGAGGAACACCGAAGGCGAAGGCAGAUCUCUGGGCCGUAACUGACGCUGAGGAGCGAAAGCGUGGGGAGCGAACAGG